ensembl:misc_RNA Metazoa_SRP Metazoan signal recognition particle RNA
GCUGGGCGUGGUGGCUCACACCUGUAAUCCUAGCACUUUGGGAGGCUGAGACAGGAGGAUUGCUUGAGCCUGGGAGAUCAGGGCUGCAGUGAGCUGGGAUCACACUACUGCACUCCACCCUGGGCAGCACAGCAAGAUCCUGUCUCAA